GGAUGUAGGAGCAGACUGGCUGUGACAGUAAGUGUCGGGGCAAUUCGCUAUUGGCUGGAUGACUGCCUGGCUUAAUAUCCCCUUCCUCCUACCAUGCCAUUGGCAUCCUUUCUCAAGCUGCAGACUCAAUAGAAGAUAAUGACUUUCCCCGAUACUAGAUGGUCUUUUUUAGUUAUGGUUUAUUCUUUA
rnacentral:snRNA from 1 species